AAAUUUUGAAGCUAUAGGGUCUAAAAACUCUAUAGAGAAAUCGACCAAAUUGGGUGAAGAAUUGGUCGAUUCAUAUCAAUUCACCCAUUCACUAUUGAUUCUUUUGAUUUAGUCAUAGUUGAGGUAUAUUUGCGAUUUACCCCACUGAUUUGAAUCACUAGGAUGCAGAAUCGAAUCGAGAAUAAUAUGAUUCAAGUACAUUUAUGAUUCACUCCAUAUGUUCGAAUCACUAGGAUGGGGAAUCGAAUAUUCGAAUCGAAAAUCAUAAGAUUCUAACAACAGUGCUAGUGACAACCAGCCCCCACCAUAUCAUCAAACAUCUAGUUCUAUUCUGAUGCAAAAGGCAAAAAACAAACAAGCUAGGUAUGACCUAAUUCUUGGUACAUCCCUAUGUAAAUCCUGCAGUAUGGACAAAAUCACUGAAAUGAGCUACUGCAAAAUUUUGCCAUUCUUUGCUUUGAAAACUGCAAAAGCAUAUGAUCAAACACUGAUAAAGCAACACUUAGAUUUAGGAGCAACUUAAUUAAAAGAUUGGAACCCCAUGAAUGUUUAAAGCUUUAACUACUUGAAAAUUUAGUCCAAUAGUAUUGGAAUAGCUUGAUUUUGAAAAUGUAGUCCAAUAUUAUUGGAAUAACUUGAUUUUUGUUCAUCAUUCUUUCCUUAGAUGCUCAUUGGAAAUCUAUAAUGUAAA
rnacentral:misc_RNA from 1 species